AUGGUGAAUCGUUUAAGGCCAUUAUUGGAUGGUAUUGUUUCUCCAAAGCAAAGUGCCUUUAUCCCAGGGCGUUUGAUUACUGAUAAUGCUCUUGUGGCCUUUGAAUGUAUCCACCACAUUAAGCAAGAAAAGGAUCCUACAAAAAGCUUUUGUGCUUACAAACUCGAUAUCUCAAAGGCAUAUGAUAGGGUGGAUUGGAAGUUCUUGAAGCAGGUGAUGCAAAAGUUGGGUUUCUCUCAACGAUGGGUGGACUGGAUAAUGUCUUGUGUCACAUCGGUGAGAUACUCUGUCAAACUUAAUGGGACCCUCUUGGAUUCAUUUGCACCGUCGCGUGGGCUUCGGCAGGGCGAUCCGCUACCCCCCUUCUUGUUCCUUUUUGUGGCUGAUGGACUUUCUGCAAUUCUGAAGCAGUAUGUGUCUAGUGGUGAUAUUACCCCUGUCAAGGUAUGUAGAAGAGCUCCAGGGAUCUCACACCUAUUGUUUGCUGAUGAUACUAUGUUAUUUUUCGAAGAAAACCAUGCUCAGGCCGAAACAAUAAAGCUAGCAUUGGAUCAAUAUGGAAAGUACCUUGGACUCCCCACGCGU
rnacentral:rRNA from 1 species